rnacentral:rRNA from 1 species
GACGAACGCUGGCGGCGUGCUUAACACAUGCAAGUCGAACGGAAAGGCCCUGCUUUUGUGGGGUGCUCGAGUGGCGAACGGGUGAGUAACACGUGAGUAACCUGCCCUUGACUUUGGGAUAACUUCAGGAAACUGGGGCUAAUACCGGAUAGGAGCUCCUGCUGCAUGGUGGGGGUUGGAAAGUUUCGGCGGUUGGGGAUGGACUCGCGGCUUAUCAGCUUGUUGGUGGGGUAGUGGCUUACCAAGGCUUUGACGGGUAGCCGGCCUGAGAGGGUGACCGGCCACAUGGGGACUGAGAUACGGCCCAGACGCCUACGGGAGGCAGCAGUGGGGAAUAUUACACAAUGGGCGGAAGCCUGAUGCAGCAACGCCGCGUGCGGGAUGACGGCCUUCGGGUUGUAAACCGCUUUCGCCUGUGACGAAGCGUGAGUGACGGUAAUGGGUAAAGAAGCACCGGCUAACUACGUG